rnacentral:lncRNA from 1 species
UAAUGGAUGGAAAAUCUAACGGAGGUGUUAUUUUGAAAUAAAAUAGUACAUGAGGUAUGAAAGUGAAAUGUUUUAAAGAUGUUGUAUGAGGUUGUAAUAAACCUCAAACCUGAGGGGCUACUAUGUAAUUUACCCAAAAUCAUUAAAAUCUUUAAAAUUGUGAUUUUUCGUUAAAAUCAUUAAAAUUGUGAUUUUUCGUUAAAAUCGAUAAAAUUGUGAUUUUUCAUUAAAAUCGGGUCGAGGAGUGUAGCUGUAAAAAAAUCAUUAAAAUCGGAGCUAAAAUAACCGUUAAAUUGUGAUUUUUCUUUUAUAACCAUCAAAAACUUUUGUUCCGUUACAUAAUCUCUUAAUGUUUGUUUUUUACAAUUUUUUACAUAUGCAAUCUCGGAGUGUGUACAAAUAAGUUUUACGGUUCAAUCGUUGAAAAACUUUCGUAGAAUGCAUAUCGUUUCAAAACGGUAGAUUAAACAAACACUUAAGAGUUAAUAUUAUACUUCCAUCAAGUAUAAAGUAAGAUUUGUGGUAUCCACUAGUGUAAAUAUUUUAAAUUGAAGAUCAAAUUUAUUCAUUGCAUUCUUAUAGGGUCAAGGAGUAUAGCUAUGAAAAAUCAUCAAAAUUGGAGAUAAAAUAACCGUUAAAUUAUGAUUUUUCAUUUAUAACCAUCAAAAACUUUUGUUCCAAUACCUAAUAUCUGAAUGUUUGUUUUUUGCGAUUUUUUACGUAUGUGAUCUCAGAGUGUGUACAAACAAGUUUGAAGGUUGGAUCGUUGAAAAAAGUUUCGUAGAAUGCGUAUCGCAUCAAAAUAGUAGAUUAACCAAACACUUAGAGUUAAUGUUAUACUUCCCCAUCAAAGUAUAAAAUAAGAUUUUGUGGUAUCCACUAGUGUAAAUAUUUUAAAUUGAAGAUCAAAUUCAUUCAAUGCGUUCUUAUAGGGUCGACGAGUGUAGCUGUAAAAAAUCAUCAAAAUCGGAGCUAAAAUAACCGUUAAAUUGUGAUUUUUUGUUUAUAACCGUCGAAAACUUUUGUUCCGUUAUGUAAUCUCUAAAUGUUUGUGUAGACAUCGAAAUUUCGGUAAAAUAAAUGUUGAUCAAUAAUUAAAAUUUCAAUGUUUAUGUGUCACAUAAAUUUUGCACAUAGCAUGUGACUAAACGAAAAAUCAAAAUAAGUCGGAAAAGUCAUCAAACAGGACACGUGUCAACACCUGGCCGAAAUGAUUUAUUUCAUCUAAUUAUUUAAAUCCAAAAAAUCAAGUUUUGGAAUUCUAUAAAUAGGAGGCCAAGGCAUUCAUUUUGGGACACCAAUUCAUAACCAAUUCACCUCAUACCACAACCUUGAAGCUUUGAAACUCAAAAGCUCUCAAGCAAAUCCCGAAGGAUCAAGAGAGCUCUCUUCGUUCUUCGUCAAAUCCUCAUUCAAAAUCAAGCCCCA